AACUUCACUCAUACAAACUAAAACAAUUUUGUAUAAAGUGUGUCUUGUUCAUUCCGGUUAGAAUAUAAUUAUUGUUAUACCACCUACUAUUUGGUGUUUACUAUUUGUUAGCGAACCUUAGGGUUUCCGUUUUUUUUUUUUGGUAACCGAAAAAUAAUACGAACACAAGUUUAAAAAAAGUGAUCUUCCCAUUGCCAUCGACACGUCACGUGCUUCUCGAAUAAUGGUCAUCCGGAUUACUCGAAAAAGUAGGAUUUUUUAAAUACGUAUCUUGCUAUGUCGCUAAUAUUUUUUUAAUCCCUCUUCAGGACCAUAUAAAAUAAUUUCUAUUUUCAGUUUACUGAUUUGUGCUACAAUAUGAUAAACACAUAAUUUGAAAAGGUACACUACCGUAUGUUAUCUUAAUUUGAUUUUAACAGACUCUUUGCAGACAUGCGCACAUUUAGAGUUGAGAAAAAUUGUUCUGAUUCAAUUGGUUCCUUUAAAGUCAAACUAAAAGGCAAAAUCCUGGCAGGUUUGGUACGGUUUGUAAAAAACGUUCUGAAUGUUUAAAAAUGGUUAACGCAGCACCUAAAAGGAAAGGUUUGUAGUUUACUUAUAUUUGAAUUAUAUAGAAACAUGGAUAGUAACUUCGACCGCUUGUAUUUCCGCUCAUACCUUACGUCACCAGUAGUUAAGCUGUUUGUAGCGAAAACUUUUUUCGGAAUCUAAGUUCAACAAUGCUGUACAACUUUGUUUUUGAUUUUGCCUUUGGGCUUCACGGUUUUUUUUGUAGACGAAACUUGCGUCUGGCGUACAAUAUUAUAAGACUGGUAUCUUUGAAGAGUUUUGUUCACUGAUGUUCAAAUCUCAUAAAUCAAUUAGUAGAAACAAAUCAAGAUAACAAAGGUUAAACUGACGAAUGGCAAGAUUUCUUAAAGGAAGAUACCGGGAACGUCAGCAGGAUAUGCAAGGCUAUAAGUAAAGAGAUCAAUAAGCAUUCAUCAAGAAUUUCAAGCAUAAUUCAAGGAUAAUGAACAAGUAUUAUACAAUGGUUGUACGACUAGGAUUACUCCAUACAAGUACCAUUAAAAAACGACGAAGACUAUAUUUAAU